GUUUAACGCGAAGGAACCUUACCAGGUCUUGACAUCUUCUGCUAACCUAGGAGAUUAAGCGUUCCCUUCGGGGACGGAAUGACAGGUGGUGCAUGGUUGUCGUCAGCUCGUGUCGUGAGAUGUUGGGUUAAGUCCCGCAACGAGCGCAACCCUUAUUGUCAGUUGCCAGCAUUUAGUUGGGCACUCUGGCGAGACUGCCGGUGACAAACCGGAGGAAGGUGGGGAUGACGUCAAAUCAUCAUGCCCCUUAUGACCUGGGCUACACACGUGCUACAAUGGACGGUACAACGAGUCGCGAAACCGCGAGGUCAAGCUAAUCUCUUAAAGCCGUUCUCAGUUCGGAUUGUAGGCUGCAACUCGCCUACAUGAAGUUGGAAUCGCUAGUAAUCGUGGAUCAGC
rnacentral:rRNA from 1 species